rnacentral:rRNA from 1 species
CGUGUAGGCGGUGCGGUAAGUUGGGCGUGAAAUCCCCGAGCUUAACUCGGGUGGGCCGUUCAAAGACUGCCGUGCUAGGGUGCGGGAGAGGGAAGUGGAAUUUCCGGUGUAGCGGUGAAAUGCGUAGAUAUCGGGAGGAACACCUGCGGCGAAGGCGGCUUCCUGGACCGUAACCGACGCUGAGGCGCGAAAGCUAGGGGAGCAAACAGGAUUAGAUACCCUGGUAGUCCUAGCCCUAAACGAUGAGCACUGGGUGUGGCCCCUCACGAGGCCGUGCCGAAGCUAACGCAUUAAGUGCUCCGCCUGGGGAGUACGGUCGCAAGGCUGAA